rnacentral:misc_RNA from 1 species
CAACCCUCAGGCCCCGCCUGGUGUUGGGGACCCCGCGGCCGCCGCGGGCCCCGAAAAUCAGUGGCGUGCUCGCCGCGAGCCCGAGCGUAGUAAUCAUCCUCGCUUUGGGAACGCCGCGGGCGCCCGCCGUGAAACCCCCCACUUAUUCA